rnacentral:rRNA from 1 species
UACGUAGGUCCCGAGCGUUGUCCGGAUUUAUUGAGCGUAAAGCGAGCGCAGGUGGUUUAUUAAGUCUGGUGUAAAAGGCAGUGGCUCAACCAUUGUAUGCAUUGGAAACUGGUAGACUUGAGUGCAGGAGAGGAGAGUGGAAUUCCAUGUGUAGCGGUGAAAUGCGUAGAUAUAUGGAGGAACACCAGUGGCGAAGGCGGCUUACUGGACUGUAACUGACGUUGAGGCUCGAAAGCGUGGGGAGCAAACAGG